AAAACCAACAAUAUUCGAAGAUCCCGCCGGCAGUUGUGACAAUUAAUUUUGGGGACGCUCAAAGGCUCCCAAUUGUCCACCGGCGUCAGUAAACCGAGUGUAGAGGUGGAAGUGGUGGCUCGAGGAAAACCCAGGGCAGGCCGAGCAAAAGUCCGAGUGGACUAUUCCGUGUCCACUAUUAAAGAACUCCAGGUGGCUCAACUAAGGAAGUCCAACCAAAGGCGGACGGAGGAGCACCGAGGAAGGAGAAGAAAUCCCGGCCUAAAAUAGGCUAAUCGCAGCAAGUUCGCUUCGAACCGAAGCUAGGUUCGAGCGAACGGAGGAGCGCAGAGGAGGCGCUAACCGCAGUGUAGCGCGAUAUUCAAGAACGGGAGGGAGGAAAACAUCGGAGGUGUCCCAGUAAAAGGUCCAGGCUGAAUGGAUAUUCCAGCUUUGGAUCCGGUCCGUAGUGUCCCUGGCCAGUGAUUUCAAGGAGCCAUAUUAGAGAAGCAGUGUAAACCCAAAGUGAAAUGGAUAAGAUUUAAGCAAGAAAAAAAAACAAGAAAAAAAUCGGAAGAAACCCGGAAAAAAAAAAAAAGUUUAAGGAAGCAAAGAAAAGUUUUAACGUAACGUUCCUAAUGGCUUGAUCGGGAAACAAGGCUAGUCAGAGGAAAUUCAAUGUCGCUUCAAAUUGUGUUAUUGUUUUCGUGGUUUUAUUUAAUUGUGCCGCCCCAGUGGGGAAUAAUUUGUAAGGCAUAAAAACUUUGUUUCACCGCCCCCCCCC